rnacentral:rRNA from 1 species
UGCUUGUCUCAAAGAUUAAGCCAUGCAUGUCUAAGCAGAGCCCUUGAAUGGUAAAGCCGCGAAUGGCUCAUUACAACAGCCACAGUUUAUUGGGUCUCCAUUUACUUGGAUAACUGAGCUAAUUGUUGAGCUAAUACACGCACCAAAGCUUCGACCUCACGGGAGGAGCGCAUUUAUUAGAACAAAACCAAUCGGACUUCGGUCCGUCCAUUGGUGAAUCUAAAUAACUUAGCCGAUCGCAUGGUCUCGCACCGGCGACUCACCUUUCAAAUGUCUGCCUUAUCACCUUUCGAUGGUAGUUUAUACGCCUACCAUGGGUUUUACGGGUAACGGAGAAUAAGGGUUCGACUCCGGAGAGGGAGCCUGAGAAACGGCUACCACAUCCRAGGAAGGCAGCAGGCA